rnacentral:rRNA from 1 species
CUAGCGUACAGGCUUAACACAUGCAAGGUCGAGGGGCAGCAUGGACUUAGCUUGCUAAGUCUGAUGGCGACCGGCGCACGGGUGAGUAACGCGUAUCCAACCCUGCCCAUAUCCCCGGGCAUAACCUUGCGAAAGCAAGCCUAAUUCCCCGAUGUGUCCUGUGACGGCAUCAGAUCAGGAUGAAAGAUUUUUCGGAUAUGGAUGGGGAUGCGUCCCAUUAGGUAGUAGGCGGGGUAACGGCCCACCUAGCCGACGAUGGGUAGGGGUUCUGAGAGGAAGGUCCCCCACAUUGGAACUGAGACACGGUCCAAACUCCUACGGGAGGCAGCAGUGAGGAAUAUUGGUCAAUGGACGUAAGUCUGAACCAGCCAAGUAGCGUGCAGGAUGACGGCCCUAUGGGUUGUAAACUGCUUUUAUGCGGGGAUAAAGUGUGGGACGUGUCCCAUAUUGCAGGUACUGCAUGAAUAAGGACCGGCUAAUUCCGUG